rnacentral:rRNA from 1 species
CAGUAGCCGCGGUAAUACGAAGGGUGCAAGCGUUAAUCGGAAUUACUGGGCGUAAAGCGUGCGUAGGCGGUGAGUUAAGUCUGCUGUGAAAUCCCCGGGCUCAACCUGGGAAUGGCAGUGGAUACUGGCUCGCUAGAGUGUGUCAGAGGAUGGUGGAAUUCCCGGUGUAGCGGUGAAAUGCGUAGAGAUCGGGAGGAACAUCAGUGGCGAAGGCGGCCAUCUGGGACAACACUGACGCUGAGGCACGAAAGCGUGGGGAGCAAACAGGAUUAGAUACCCCCGUAGUCCCUGUCUCUUAUAU